CCUUUAGAUGUCCUGGGCCGCACGCGCGCUACACUGAUGCAUUCAACGAGUUUUACCUUGGCCGAGAGGCCUGGGCAAUCUUUUGAACCUGCAUCGUGAUAGGGAUAGAUUAUUGCAAUUAUUAAUCUUGAACGAGGAAUUCCUAGUAAACGCAGAUCAUCAAUCUGCAUUGAUUACGUCCCUGCCCUUUGUACACACCGCCCGUCGCACCUACCGAUUGAAUGGUCCGGUGAAGCCUCGGGAUUGUGGCGAGUUCCCUUUAUUGGGAGUUUGUCGCGAGAACUUGUCUAAACCUUAUCAUUUAGAGGAAGGUGAAGUCGUAACA
rnacentral:rRNA from 1 species